AUGAAGUCGGAGUUGCUAGUAAUCCCGGAUCAGAAUGCCGGGGUGAAUGCGUUCCCGGGUCUUGUACACACCGCCCGUCACGCCAUGGGAGUUGGGAGUACCCAAAGUCGGUGCGCUAACCGCAAGGAGGCAGCCGCCUAAGGUAAGACCAAUGACUGGGGUGAAGUCGUAACAAGGUAUC
rnacentral:rRNA from 1 species